rnacentral:lncRNA from 1 species
AGCCCAGGCUGCAGGGUCUGUUUGCACAGUUGGGGCUGAGCUAGACACCCACCUCCGGGGAAGCCGCUCAGCUCGGUCGACUGUUGACUCUAGGAUUAGCAGCUCCACAGGAGUUCUUUUCCUCUGAAAUGAAAAGAAAGCGGACAGACUGACAGAUGGCUUCUCAGAGAGCUUGCUGCUAUUGCAUGAGGACCUAGCUCAGAUCCCUAGAAGCCAUAUAAAAGCCAGCAUGUGUCUGUAUCUCCAAUCCCAAGAGGAGAGAUCAAGAGAGAUUUCUGGCCAGAGGAAGACACCGCUGGCAUCUAUAUGUGCACUCACAGGAACAGGCAUGAAUGAGUCCAGUCUUUGAAGAACUGGGAAGAUGGCUUUAGGAUGUGUCCAUUAAGUAUCUGAAACACAGAAACACCCGAGAGCUGCCCCUUCCCUUCCCAGAGAUCCAUGAAGAGCUGAACCUAGAAUACUGAUGCCACUGUUUGUCCCCUAAGAUCGAUUAGCAUCUGGAUGGACAGGAACCAAGACAACCACCUUAGUUCAGGUUUCAGUUGCUGUAACAAAACAGCAGAGGCCAAGGACUUUACACACAAGGGUGACUAAAAGUCCAAGACUAAACAACCCCAUGUGUUUGGACUCUGGUAAGGAUCUCCCAUCUACUUCUCAACAUGGCGAAUGACAUCAUGAUGGAUGUGCAGAUGAGGAAAGAGAGGUCACAUGAUGAAACUGGAAACAAGAGAGUAUGUGGAAGGUCACAUCCAGUCUUUUACAGCAACCUCGUAUCUCAAAAGGCUACCCUGGAACUCAGAGAUCUGCUUGCCUGGGAUUAAACACAUGAACCACCCUGCCUGGGACGAAGCUUUGCAUGGCCACUAUUCCUCAAGAUCCUCAUCAAAAGCCUGUGUCUUCCAGCCUCGAGAUCUGGAUCCAUAGUUGUGCCCUCCAUUUCUGGAUUUUAGUUCAUUCCAGAUUAAAAGUCCAAAUGAAAACAAUAACCAGGUAAUAGUAACACCUAUGUAUAACCCUACCCAAGGACAUUUGACUGGGGUGGAGAUGAGAGCAGAGCGAGUGGGAUCUCUGUAAGAGAAACUGUGUCCCUGCAAUCCACACUAAAGUCAGAGCAGUGGAACUCAUGCUUCCCCAGCCCUCAUCCCACAACCAGUCCUGAUCCCAUCUGGCCACAGAACUCUUCAAAUGUCCCCAAGAAAGCCCAGAGAAGCCACAGUCUGAACUUUGUGUGUUCACUCUGCUAUCUUAUCUGUGUCACUUAGCACCUUCUAGAAAAUAAGGGUCUGUUGGGGCUUGGGGUUUGUGUACAACGAUGAGUUGUCAUGAAUGUUGUUUAUAGGAACAUGGGCAGCUUGCCAGUGAAGAAAACGUCCCUUCUUCUCACAACAACCAUUAACUUCUGAGAGAUCUUCAGGGAUGGGGGGCUUUGCGGGGUGGAAAGCUGAUGGACCCAGCCUUCUGCAGGUCUUCUGCAGAUAAUCAUAGAUGCUGGGGAUCCAAGAUUACGACAGUGAUAUCAUGUCCUGAUGUUGAACUCCAUGGCACUCUACCGCUCCCUUAGGCCCUUACAUUCCUCCCAUUUCUUCACUAGUAUACCCCGAGCCUGGAAGAGGUCACUAUAAAUGUCCCCUUUAGGGUUGAGCAUUCAUCAGUUAUAAGCCUGCAGCAACCACGGCCUGCUUUAUAAAGCAUCUUCUCAGACCAAGGGGACACUCCCACAGAAACGAUGGUUCCAGCCAGAGGUGCUGAGAACCCACCCGGAACCUGCUUCUCAACAGCCGGCUUCAACAUAAGCCACACUCCCCAUUAAGCCCUGCUUUGAGAGAGGAAGCAUCAUAACUGAACACAACUCACAUGGCCUGUCAUAGUAUGUCUGCCAUGGACCAUGACACGGAAUUCAACUAGUGUGGACACUGAGGGACUCCUUGAGGAAGCAUCAUCUCUACAGUGACCUAGAGGAUGAACAGGUGUGACAUAAAGUGACAUGAAUUAGAUCUAAAGCCAAAUGACACUGAUGUUUGUGUGUGAAAAUCCCAUAAUGAACCCCAUUACUAUGUAUGGUAGCC